AUCUGACUCUCAAGCUUUAAAAAGGACUACCUCAAUUGGUUGCAGCAUGUUCCAAUUACACAGAUAUGACACAACCAUUUUACAUGCCUAGAGCCAUUCAAAGGGAUGUCAUAAGGGAAAAGGCAAUUAAUAUUUGAAAGAAGGAACCUUUUUAUUUCCUCUGGCAUUUAUAUUAAUCUGUUCUAAUAGCAUCAAAGAAUACAAAAUACUUUUGAAAACAUUCUUGCUGAGUACUUUAUAAUAGGAAUGGCUGAUGUCUGGAUGCUCCACGUUGGGAUGACCUCCCAAGACCCAGCAGCCAUGCUGUGAGAAGGUCAGGUCAAAUGGAGAGGCCAUGUAUGAUUGCUCUGGUUAAUAGCCUCAAUUAACUGAGCCAUUUUGAAAGUGAACCUUGGGUGACCAGCACUCCUCAGCCAACAUCUGAUUACAAUAUUUUGAAAGACCAUAAGUGAGAAUCCUUUGAUUGUCCAGAAUUCUACAAGUUUACAGGAAUGAAUAGCUUUACUCCAAUCAAGGAAGGAUUUAUCUUCAGUAAUCACAUUCCUCACAUUUGGCUGUGUGGCCACAUUCUGUGUUAAUGAGGCUGUUGAGUAUUAUCUUGAUCCACAGAACGUGUGCUGUAGAAAGUGAUUUGAACAUCUCCUGUCUUCCUACCACAAAUUAAGGGUUAUGGCAUCUUGCCUAUGGUUGAAGUUUGCUAUAUAACCAAUCCCAGAAAGACUGAGGACUGAGGAUUUCUAUGGACAAUAAUGUCACUUGCAAAGUGGAAGGUCUUGGUAAGAGAAGUCCAAGUUUCUAAGAAAAUGGGGCAAACAAUUCAAUUCAUCAGUAUUUCUGGUUUGUAGGGCUUCUCAAAAUGUAUCUUGCAAGUCUAAAGUGAUCCAGACUUUUGUAAGAUAUUUUAAUUAUGAAAAAAAUACAAUCAGAUGCAGGGAAAGAUUACAGAAAUGAUUAGAAUGGAUCAGAGAGAUUUAGAUUUAAGUCAGGAAGCUGCCACCUACUAGCUUCGACUCUGGAAAAAUGCUUGUGUUUUGGUCCUCUACUCAUGAAUUAGAAAGUUCACCCAACAACCAUGCCACCACUCCUAUUUUUGUUUAGCUGUUUUUAAGCUAUAUUAAGAUGAUGAGAAAUGGAAAAAAUGGAAAUAAAGUCUUUGUAAAUAGGGAAGGGUGGAAGGCGUGAAGGGAGGGCUAGGAAUGGGGAAAAAAUAAGAACCAAGAUGCAUUAUGUAAAGGUACAAUUCCCAAUGAGAAAUGUAAUUGUGUUGUAU
ensembl:lncRNA